rnacentral:pre_miRNA from 1 species
UUUAGACGCGGUUAUUGGUUUUUAUGCCCAACGUUUUAUUGUCGCCUUAUUUAUUUUUUUAAAAUUAGUAUUUUUAUUAUUAUUAGAUGAUAAAACAUAAAUAAUAGCUUCAUACAUGACUUUAUAUAUAUAUAUAUAUAUUAAAUAAGACAAACGGUUAAACGUUGGACGUACGUGGAAUCUCGCGACUGCCUUAGCA